rnacentral:rRNA from 1 species
AUUGAACGCUGGCGGCAGGCUUAACACAUGCAAGUCGAGCGGGGGAAGGUAGCUUGCUACUGGACCUAGCGGCGGACGGGUGAGUAAUGCUUAGGAAUCUGCCUAUUAGUGGGGGACAACAUCUCGAAAGGGAUGCUAAUACCGCAUACGUCCUACGGGAGAAAGCAGGGGAUCUUCGGACCUUGCGCUAAUAGAUGAGCCUAAGUCGGAUUAGCUAGUUGGUGGGGUAAAGGCCUACCAAGGCGACGAUCUGUAGCGGGUGUGAGAGGAUGACCCGCCACACUGGGACUUAUACACGCCCCAGACUCCUACGGGAGGCAGCAGUGGUGAAUAUUGGGCAAUGGGGGGAACCCUGAUCCAGCCAUGCCGCGUGUGUGAAGAAGGCCUUAUGGUUGUAAAGCACUUUAAGCGAGGAGGAGGCUACUCUAGUUAAUACCUAGGGAUAGUGGACGUUACUCGCAGAAUAAGCACCGGCUAACUCUGUGCCAGCCGCCGCCGUAA